UUUAGUCCCUGUUUUGCAUUACAUGGGUGCGGUUGUGUGAUGUACAGUGAACGUUUUCCACAACUAAUGUUCAAUAAGAGCAGUGACUCAACUUGAAAAUCAUGGAUUUUUCUGUUAAUGCCGCACCAACCAGAAUACCAACAGAUGAAUCGAUCGACCAUGGUGACUAUGGAAGUAAACAUCAUUUUCAGAUUUACAAAUCAUCUCUGGCCGAUCUACAUAAACUGCUAGCUUCAACAGACAUGAGGAGCUCUAAUUUUAUAAAAAAAAAAAAAAAAAAAAAUUGUAAC